CAAUAGCGUAUAUUAAAGUUGUUGCGGUUAAAAAGCUCGUAGUUGGAUUUCUGCCGAAGACGACCGGUCCGCCCUCUGGGUGAGUAUCUGGCUCGGCUUGGGCAUCUUCUUGGAGAACGUAGCUGCACUUGACUGUGUGGUGCGGUAUCCAGGACUUUUACUUUGAGGAAAUUAGAGUGUUUCAAGCAGGCAUCCGCCUUGAAUACAUUAGCAUGGAAUAAUAAGAUAGGACCUCGGUUCUAUUUUGUUGGUUUCUAGAGCUGAGGUAAUGAUUAAUAGGGAUAGUUGGGGGCAUUCGUAUUUAACUGUCAGAGGUGAAAUUCUUGGAUUUAUGAAAGAUGAACUUAGGCGAAAGCAUUUACCAAGGAUGUUUUCAUUAAUCAAGAACGAAAGUUAGGGGAUCGAAGACGAUCAGAUACCGU
rnacentral:rRNA from 1 species